rnacentral:lncRNA from 1 species
UCCUCCUUAACUCCCUCCCUCCCUCCGCCUUACACCCCUCCCCCUCUCUCUCCCUCCCUACCCCCUCCUUACCUUCAUCCCCCCCCCCCUCUCUCUUUAGAUUCAGACAGUGAUAACUUCCUGUCUCUGAAGAAGUCUGCAAAGCCCCAGGAUAAUGGAGUGACCAAACCAGGGAAGGCCCGCACCGGGACCAAAGAGAUCUACAGGUCCCCCUCGAAACCCACCCCUGCGCCCGCCAAGGGGAAAGGAGUGAUAAAGAAGUCUCCUCCAGCCCCCGUCACCCCUAAAUCAGCGCCCCAGCACACCAAACGCACCCCCACCUCUGUCCUGGACUACUUUGGCAGUGGGAGUGUCCAGCGCUCGGGCAAGAAACUGGUAGCAAGUACCAAGAGGAAAGCUGACCAUGAUGAGUCGCUGACUGAUGAGGUCAUCGCCCAGCAGCUGCAGAUGGACGAGGACAUGGAGUUGGAGAGGCUGGUCCACGAGGACGAGGAGUUUGCCAGGACGCUGGCCAUGUUGGACCAAGAACCACACGCCAAAAAGGCUCGUAAGGACUCUGGUGAGGAUCUGGGGUCUGACACGUCAGACGUGAUCGGUCCGUCCCCUAAAAAGGUCCCCCCUCUUGUUAAAACCAGUUCCAAACUGGCCGUGAUGAAGAGAAGGGAGGUGGAAGAGGAAGGAGGAGGGAAGACAAAUCUGACUAUCAAAAUGCCCGUCUCUCCCAAAAAGGAGUUCCUAACCACUUCAAGCACAGACAGGAAGUCCAAGCCCAAAACAGGAAGUGUAACCAUGGUGACCACACGCACGACUCUUAAAACCUCCCCCAAGAAAGAGAGCACCAGUCCAGAGGAUUCAGAGAAGAAGCGAGGGAACUCCUCAGCCUUCCGUAGUUUCCUGAACAGAGACGGACCCAGAGCCCUGGGGUCUAAACCCAUACCCACUGGAGCAGAGAACUGCCUGGAGGGGUGUGUGUUUGUGAUAUCUGGUGUGUUGGAGAGUAUGGAACGUGAGGAUGCUAAGUCCCUGAUCGAGCGCUACGGAGGGAAGGUGACCGGCAACGUCAGCAAGAGGACGACAUACCUGGUGAUGGGCAGAGACGGAGGAGCGGCCAAGACUGACAAGGCGGAGGGGUUUGGAACUAAGAUCCUGGAUGAGGAUGGUCUGUUAGAGCUCAUCAGAUGUUCACCAGGGAAGAAAUCCAAGUACCUGAUUGCUGCCGAGGCCGAGAACAAGGGAUUUAAGAGCAGAACCCCAGACACCGAGGCCUUGUCUCGCACUCCCAAACAGUCCCCAAAACCCAGCCCCUCCAAACCUGGCUCGGCGUCGGGGCGAGGAGUCAGGGUGGGGGACAGCGUGACCCCCCCAGCGAGAGGUACAGGUUCAGGGGUCAAAAGAGGGCUGGACUUGGGGGGUAAGAGCCAAUCAUCUUCCUCCUCUGCCACUCCGUCUUUGCCCUCAUUCGCUGGUGAAGAUUUCAGUCUGCUGUGGGUGGAUAAGUACCGCCCCCAGAAUCUGAAGGCUGUGAUUGGUCAGCAGGGAGACCAGAGCCAAGCCAAUAAGUUGCUUCGCUGGCUGAAGAACUGGCACACCCACCAUGCAGUGGGAGGGGCUAAACCAGCAGGGUUUGGUAAGUUCAGCAGUACUAAGGAUAACGGCUCCAGCUUCAAGGCAGCGCUGCUGUCUGGUCCUCCAGGGGUGGGCAAGACCACCACAGCUGCUCUGGUCUGUCAGGAGCUGGGUUAUAGUUAUGUAGAGAUGAAUGCCAGCUGUACCCGCAGUAAGAACAGUCUGAAUCUGAUCGCUGAGUCUCUGAACAACAGCAGCAUCAACAACUACUACACAGGUUCGUCUCAGACAGUCAGCAGUAAGCAUGUUCUCAUCAUGGAUGAGAUUGAUGGCAUGGCAGGAAACGAAGACCGCGGAGGAAUACAGGAGAUGAUAAGUCUGAUUAAACAGUCCAGGAUCCCCAUCAUCUGUAUGUGUAAUGAUCGUAACCACCAGAAGAUCCGGUCUCUGGCCAACUACUGCUUUGACCUGCGCUUCCAGAGACCACGACUGGAACAGAUCAAGGGUGCCAUGAUGUCCAUUGCUUUCAAAGAGGGUCUGAAAGUCCCGCCUCCUGCCCUCAACGAGAUGAUCCUGGCGUCCAAUCAGGACAUCCGACAGGUCCUCCACAACCUGAGCAUGUGGUCGGCUAAGGACAAGGUCAUGACCUACGACCGGGUCAAAGAGGACGCCAACAACGCACGCAAGGACAUGAAGCUGGGUCCGUUUGACGUGUGUCGGAAGGUGUUCUCCAAGGGGGAGGAGUCGGGUCACAUGACGCUGAUUGACAAGUCGGACCUACCUGCUGCUGCUGGUGGUGAUCUGAAGUCCCACCUGGUCCUCCUCAGUAAGACAGCUGAUUGUAUCUGUGAUGGAGACCUGGUGGACAGACAGAUACGGUCCAAACAGGCCUGGUCUCUACUGCCCACACAGGCGAUCUAUUCCAGUGUGUUACCAGGAGAGUUGAUGCGUGGCUAUAUGAACUCUUUCCCCUCGUUUCCCUCCUGGCUGGGAAAGUUCUCCUCCUGCAAUAAACACUCUCGGAUCAUUCAGGAGCUGGCCUCUCACAUGAGCCUCAAGACAUUAAGUAGCAGACAGGCAGUGAGCCUGGACUACCUCCCUUACCUCCGCAUGUCCCUGCUGUGUCCUCUUCAGAGGCAUGACUACCACCUGGUCAGAGAGGAUGUGGACAGCCUCAUGGAGAUCAGCCUCUGGGGGGGCCAGCCUGACCCUUACGCUCAACUAGACCCCAAGGUGAAGUCAGCGUUCACGAGGGCCUAUAACCGGGAGACCCACCUGACACCCUACUCCCUCCAACCAAUCAAGAAGGGCCGUCGUGGCGGGGGAGUGGAGGCAGAACUGGGAGGAGAGGAGCAAGCGGAACAGCCUGAGGAAGAGGAGGAGGAGGAAGGUGUUGCAGCUGACGCCAUGAUCAAAGUAAGGAGAAACGCACUUCUAGACAAUCCCAAUUGUAAAAAGGCCCCCCACUUUUCUGAAAUAAUUUACAAUUUUUAUUUGUUUAAAUUUAUUUGAGAAGAAAUGAGAAAUUAUUUAGUGGUCGGCUGCCCCUUAGAACCGUCUUCUCUGGUGGUUUUAAACGGUCUUUUG